AUUGAACGCUGGCGGCAGGCUUAACACAUGCAAGUCGAGCGGGGUGAUGGUGCUUGCACUAUCACUUAGCGGCGGCCGGGUGAGUAAUGCUUAGGAAUCUGCCUAUUAGUGGGGGACAACAUCUCGAAAGGGAUGCUAAUACCGCAUACGUCCUACGGGAGAAAGCAGGGGAUCACUUGUGACCUUGCGCUAAUAGAUGAGCCUAAGUCGGAUUAGCUAGUUGGUGGGGUAAAGGCCUACCAAGGCGACGUUCUGUAGCGGGUCUGAGAGGAUGAUCCGCCACACUGGGACUGAGACACGGCCCAGACUCCUACGGGAGGCAGCAGUGGGGAAUAUUGGACAAUGGGGGGAACCCUGAUCCAGCCAUGCCGCGUGUGUGAAGAAGGCCUUAUGGUUGUAAAGCACUUUAAGCGAGGAGGAGGCUCUUUUGGUUAAUACCCAAGAUGAGUGGACGUUACUCGCAGAAUAAGCACCGGCUAACUCUGUGCCAGCCGCCGCAGUAA
rnacentral:rRNA from 1 species